CUCUGAGAAAAAAAUCCAUUUAUCAGUAGCACUAUUUGUCUACUACAUGCUUCAUAAAAGUGUUUUAUUUGUUUAUAAAAUGUAUAUGAUUGCAGUCCUUUGAUAACCUGAUACAACAUGUAAGUACCAUCGACCACUGACAUGAAAAGGAAAGUAAAAUACUUCCGUUCCUUUGGAAAUGACCUCAGGCUCAACCCACACAUGUCAUUAGUUGAGCUCAUUGAGACUGAAUUUCCUGACUGGCCAAUUACAUUAUCUCCACACUUCUGCUUCUAUUCUUUCAACAUGGAAUGUUUACAUGUGGCACACACUGUUGGCGCUUUUCAAAUAAACUAGCAAUAGACCGCCUUUUCCUCAUGGACCUGUUGCGCCAAAUGGCAGAGACCCGCUGAAUCCAUGUUCACAAUGAAAAGAGAAUCAUGGUUUAGUUGGUUUGUAAUUGGCAAACAUAUAAGGUAACAAAUUUAAUGCCCUUAUGUUGAACAUAUGUGUAUUUUUGAGUAAUCUCCCAUUGCGCAAAAUGACAGAGACCCACUAAACACCAUUUGUGCUCUGAGAUAAAAAUCCAUUUAUCAGUAGCACUAUUUGUCUACUACAUGCUUCAUAAAAGUGUUUUAUUUGUUUAUAAAAUGUAUAUGAUUGCAGUCCUUUGAUAACCUAAUACAACAUGUAAGUACCAUCGACCACUGACAUGAAAAGGAAAGUAAAAUACUUCCAUUACUUUGGAAAUGACCUCAGGCUCAAGCCACACAUGUCAUUAGUUGAGCUCAUUGAGACUGAAUUUCCUGACUGACCAAUUACAUUAUCUCCACAGUUCUGCUUCUAUUCUUUCAACAUGGACUGUUUACAUGUGGCACACACUGUUGGCGCUUUUCAAAUAAGCUCGCAAUUGACCGCCUUUUCCUCAUGGACCCGUUGCGCCAAAUGGCAGAGACCCGCUGAAUCCAUGUUCACAUUGAAAAGAGAAUCAUGGUUUAGUUCGUUUGUUGUUGGCAAACAUAUAAGGUAACAAAUUUAAUGCCCUUUAAUAAUUUAAAAAACAUGGCUUGUUGUCUACAAAGAGAUGUACACAUCAUGUAUGUUCAAAAACAUGGCUCUUUGAACAUAUUACAUGACUCGGCAUCUUCUUGUAGGAAAGAAAAAAGCAAAGAGAGAAGCAUCGAGGAAUCAGUAUAACAAUUUAGAAAUACAAUUCCAUCGAAAUCUUGCAAAAUCAUAACAAAAUUUUUAGGAGUUAUGAACAAUUAGAAAUACAUUAUACUGAAGGUUGAGUAAAAUAUGUCUUUUGGAUUGAGCAAAUAUAUAGCUGCAGAAAUUUUGCAAAUUAACACAUAACAAGAAUCUACGACUCUCUAGACUCCUUUUCCCUGCUAAAUAUGCACGCUUUCCAUGUAAUUUUUUUCAAUAUAUUUGUUCUAUAAACAAAUGCUUGCUUUCUUUCCUUUUUUUGAAGCAGGUCGCAUGCCAUCAACAGCGCAACACCGAACAACCAGAGCCCAGUCACCACAAUCAUGCACGAGCAGCAAGCCAGCAAAAAAACACAACAGGUGCCCAGACACAUACACAUAACUAAGCCAAUAGUAACCAAACACACAACAAGAACUUGUAGCUAGCAAGCGAGCGCUAUGACCAACUAUGUAUGAUGCUACCACCAAGCCAGCCACAACAAUCAUGCACGCAACGGCAAGCCAGUAAAAAAAUACAAUGGGUGCCCGGACACACACAACACUAAGUCAGCAAGCACACACACAGCAAGAACCUGUAGCAAUCAAGCAGGGAGGAUAGGAGGACAGCUGGGACCAGAACAAAAUUACCUUGCUAGCGACGGGAUGCCUAGGCGGAAGCGACUGGAGGCGGCGGCAGCGGCGAGUCCAGGCAGCAGCUACGCGAGCAUGAGACAUGCAUUUCAUUAGUUGGUAAUGGAAGCAUCCAUCAUAUUCAUACAUACCUUCGUUUCUUUAUGAGCACUCCACUUCUCUGCCUCACCCUGUUGACCUCCACCUCAAUAACCUGGUCAAUCAACAACACAUGAUCCAUGGGGUGAUGAUAAACCUUAUAUAUAUAUAUACAUAUAUCUGAAAAUGGACGGGAGGCAGUGCGGAGUAUUAGAUCUCUGAACUCUGACGGGCUGAUGAGCCAAUGGAAGAAGGGGAUGGUGAGGGCAGCAUUGAACACGUAGGCCCAGCGCCGGAAGGGAGUUAUCACCUCAGCUCACCUAGGAAGCAACAACUUCCAUUUCCAAAAGAAAAAUGAUCAGGAAACGUAAGCCGCUAUUGGUUAGAUACCAGCAAAUGAUUAAUUGUUAAAGACUACUUUGGGAAUAAUCACUCUGAGCAAUAAACGGUAAUAAACAGAGAACAAAAAGGAACAAAACAAAGCCAGGUUUUUUCACCUAAAAGGAAUUGUCAAAUGCAGCGAUAGCAUGUUUGCAUUUUUUUUCCAAAUUGCACAUGAGCUUUGACUGUAGGGAAGAGAUAAAACUUCCCACAAACAAACAUCCAGUUAUGAUAACCGUGAUCUCAGGAAGAGUAGAAAGAUGCAUCUUAUACUCUAGAGUUCAGAUAUAUCAAAAAUUCAUUCCAUCUGACCUCUUUGGAGUUAAACUAAACAGUUGUUCUUAUCCUGUAACAUGCUACUACUUAGUUGCACCCCUCUUACUCCUGACACUACAAACUCCAGUUUAUGUGGCGUACUUUAUGCAUAUACAAACGAUGUAUAAAGCCUGAACAUGGCAAAAAAAUGCAAGGGAUUACCUGAAUAUAUGAUACUGCAGUACACCUAAUUUUCUAACUGAAAUUAAACCUACCACUUCCUGUUCUCAGAUUUUAGUUCAUUUAUAAACUCUGCAUUCUACUCAUACAAGCAUACCACAUCUAAUAUUCUGCUGUAACCCAUAUUAUUGUUACCUUACUAAAUUCAUAAUUAUUAUCAGUUUAUAAUGGAAAUAAAGUACCCUAAUGCAUCCCCUAUUAAAUGGCGUUACGAACCGCAAUGUAUGUGUGUAUUGAUAUGCUUACAAACAUGCUAUGAAGCAUGGAACCUGGCAAGAUAAAUGCAAAGGAUGCCCAACAGAACUCUUGCUCCAUGACCUUACUUAUAUUGUGGUUGCAGACUUGAGUCCCACUUUGCUGAACCUUUUGUACAUGAUGUUAAAAAAAGCUCUUGAUUCCCUUAUAAACCCCCUCCUAUGAACCAUGAAUACCCAAACCAUAUAACAAGCAAAUAAGAUUGAAUCACCCAUACAGUAAUCGAGUGAAAAGCUUAACCGACGGGGAAACACAACAAAUUUUAGUUGUCACAUGGAACAGGUGCACAGUCCAUACAACGAUCACAUUGAAUAUAUAUUUUUACUUGUACUCACAAGAGCAUGUUCUCAACAAAAAGUACCAACAACUUUACAUCAUCAAGUAAAAAUAUAGAGCAUUGUACAUUGAAUGCAAAUACCAGAAUAGAAAGGCAAGGAAUUUGCAACCCCCCAAAAAAAGAGGAUAGCACAAUGGCUAGUUAGAACAGAGCUGAUGUUAUCUCAAAAUGUGUUCCCAAGCAGCAAAAUAGCAAUCUCAUAUUAUCAUAAGGAGUUGCUGCAAACAAAUAAGGAGUCGCGCAUGCCCAUCUCUAAGCAAAAUAGUCUGCAUAACAUGAAAUCCAUAAUGACAAAUCAGCAAAACUACUUUGGAAAGUCCAUUGAUAGCUAGAGAACAUGGUCCAACACAAACCAUAUCACCAAAAUGCAAGCGCAAACUUGAUUGGAUUCGCAAGAGGGAUAAAAUUCACCUUGGUCUUCUUCAACACUUCAGCUAAAAUUGUUCUUCAUCUCUUCUUUCACAGAUCUGCACACAUCAUGUGUAGAAAACCCACAUAUUAGGGAACUAAAAUGUGAAUGAGCUAUGUAUAUUUGCUAACUAAUAAUUUUAUUUCUUCUCGGUAUUUCUAAUUUGGAACAAGCACAAUAAUUUAUAGUGUGUGCAUGAAUGUUCAUACACCCAACAAGAAAUCUCAGAAGGACAAAUAAGAAUCUGGAUGCCUGGUAAAAUCAAAGUUGAAAUAAAAGUUACCUUCCAUUCCAUCGGUGAUCUGCUCUCUCUCUCUCUCUCUCCCUCCCUCCCUCCCUCACACACACACACACAAACAUGCAUCAGACAAGACGUACAAAGGGAUAGAAGAGUACCUAUGUUUUCUUGGUCCUCCCUACCUGGCUGCUUCAAACUGUGGACGGAUUGGAAGAUGGCGCACCUGUUCCUCACCAUGAAGCACCUCGGCCAACCCAUGGUGCCCAGCCUUGACCACUACUCCCAUG
rnacentral:lncRNA from 1 species